GACGAACGCUGGCGGCGUGCUUAACACAUGCAAGUCGAACGGAAAGGCCCUGCUUUUGUGGGGUGCUCGAGUGGCGAACGGGUGAGUAACACGUGAGUAACCUGCCCUUGUCUUUGGGAUAACUUCAGGAAACUGGGGCUAAUACCGGAUAGGAGCUCUUGCUGCACGGGGGGGGUUGGAAAGUUUCGGCGGUUGGGGAUGGACUGGCGGCUUAUCAGCUUGUUGGUGGGGUAGUGGCUUACAAAGGCUUUGACGGGUAGCCGGCCUGGGAGGGUGACCGGCCUCAUGGGUACUGAGAUACGGAGCAGACGCCUACGGGAGGCAGCAGUGGGGAAUAUUGCACAAUGGGCGGAAGCCUGAUGCAGCAGCGCCGCGUGCGGGAUGACGGCCUUCGGGUUGUAAACCGCUUUCGCCUGUGACGAAGCGUGAGUGACGGUAAUGGGUAAAGAAGCACCGGCUAACUACGUG
rnacentral:rRNA from 1 species